CAGCUACAUACACACAGUAGACAGAAACUGCAGCUGAAUUUCUUUCAUACAAGUCUGGGAAUUAUAACUUUGUGUGAUGAACUUUGCUGAAGUACUGAGCUCUCGUUAAUGCAAUUAAAUGAAUGAAGGGAACAUCAUUAACAGUGACUUUGUGGCAAACCCAUUAAUGAGGCUAAUUCUUCCAUAAACAGAUUUUUAGGGAAAUCUUGGCAAAGGUGCCUGAAGAGGACCUAUGGAAGUGUCCAUAUAUGAUGAGUCAAUGUGAAGAGCAUUACCAGCUAGGGGAAACUGAGACCUUGACUGUAACUCUCUUCAGAGAUUGUGAUGCACUAGCUGUGCCCCAAAUCUGAUGUGGGGAGGUCAACUUUCCCUCAUGAAUCUUAUCAGGUCUUGUUGUUACUGACUUUGCAGCAGUAUUUGAAGUUUUCCUGCAUGUAUAGUAGUCCUCCCUUUUCUGAGGGGGAUGUGUUCCAGACCCCACAGUGGAUGCCUGAAGCUGUGGAUUAUACUGAACUUUCACCUCUUCACUUAAAGGUUCUCACAGGCUCCCAGCACAUCCCUGGACACAGCGUCUGGGAAGCUACUGCUGAUGGCUCCCUGUUUCUUGCCUCUGGAGCAGCAUGUCCCAGCCAGG